rnacentral:rRNA from 1 species
GUGGGGGAUACGUUCCGAAAGGAACGCUAAUACCGCAUACGUCCUACGGGAGAAAGCAGGGGACCUUCGGGCCUUGCGCUAUCAGAUGAGCCUAGGUCGGAUUAGCUAGUUGGUGAGGUAAUGGCUCACCAAGGCGACGAUCCGUAACUGGUCUGAGAGGAUGAUCAGUCACACUGGAACUGAGACACGGUCCAGACUCCUACGGGAGGCAGCAGUGGGGAAUAUUGGACAAUGGGCGAAAGCCUGAUCCAGCCAUGCCGCGUGUGUGAAGAAGGUCUUCGGAUUGUAAAGCACUUUAAGUUGGGAGGAAGGGCAGUAAGCUAAUACCUUGCUGUUUUGACGUUACCGACAGAAUAAGCACCGGCUAACUUCGUGCCAGCAGCCGCGGUAAUACGAAGGGUGCAAGCGUUAAUCGGAAUUACUGGGCGUAAAGCGCGCGUAGGUGGUUCGUUAAGUUGGAUGUGAAAGCCCCGGGCUCAACCUGGGAACUGCAUCCAAAACUGGCGAGCUAGAGUACGGUAGAGGGUGGUGGAAUUUCCUGUGUAGCGGUGAAAUGCGUAGA